rnacentral:sRNA from 1 species
ACAGCCUGGAGCAGGAGGACCCCACACACCACACAAAGCCACAUGGGAGUCCUGCUGCAGAAGAGUUGAACAUCACAGGGCUGUGGGAGGCAGGCCUUACAGUGGAAGGAAGGCUGUGGAAUGGGAGUGUGAUGAAGCUACCAAAAAGGCCUGUUACAGCAAAGGCAAAUCAAAGGAGGAAUGUCAGAACUACAUCCGGGUGCUUCUGGUGGGUGGCGACCGGUUAUUCACCUGUGGGACCAAUGCAUUCACGCCUGUCUGCACCAACCGCUCGUUGAGCAACCUGACUGAGAUCCAUGAUCAGAUCAGUGGCAUGGCCCGCUGUCCCUACAGUCCCCAGCACAAUUCCACAGCGCUCCUCACAGCUGGUGGGGAGCUCUAUGCUGCUACAGCCAUGGAUUUUCCAGGACGUGAUCCUGCCAUUUACCGAAGCCUGGGCAUUUUACCUCCUCUCCGCACGGCGCAGUACAACUCCAAAUGGCUCAAUGAGCCAAACUUUGUGUCAUCUUAUGACAUCGGAAAUUUUACCUACUUCUUUUUCCGAGAAAAUGCAGUAGAGCAUGACUGUGGGAAAACAGUGUUCUCCAGAGCUGCCCGGGUGUGCA